AGCAGCCGCGGUAAUUCCAGCUCCAAUAGCGUAUAUUAAAGUUGUGGCAGUUAAAAAGCUCGUAGUUGAAUUUCGGGAUCAGCAGGUUGGUCUUGCCACUGGUAUGUACUAGCUUGCUGAUUCCUCCUUCUUGUAGAACCGUAAUGCCAUUAAUUUGGUGUUGCGGGGAAACAGGACUGUUACUUUGAAAAAAUUAGAGUGUUUAAAGCAAGCUAACGCUUGAAUACAUUAGCAUGGAAUAAUGAAAUAGGACGUUUGAUCCUAUUUUGUUGGUUUCUAGGAUUGACGUAAUGAUUAAUAGGGAUAGUUGGGGGCAUUAGUAUUCAAUUGUCAGAGGUGAAAUUCUUGGAUUUAUUGAAGACUAACUACUGCGAAAGCAUUUGCCAAGGAUGUUUUCAUUAAUCAAGAACGAAAGUUAGGGGAUCGAAGACGAUCAGAUACCGUCGUAGUCUUAACCAUAAACUAUGCCGACUAGGGAUCGGAUGAUGUUAAUUUUUUAAUGACUCA
rnacentral:rRNA from 1 species